rnacentral:lncRNA from 1 species
GAAUGAAAAUGAAGGUUUCAUGCGUGUCUUGUAUGAUAACAAUGCAUGUCUAGGAAUAGAUAUUUAUUUACCAACACGGUUUAAGAAGACAUCAGAUAAUUUUUUGCAGUGGAGAGAUAAACAACAUGAUGGAGCAUGGGGUUUAAAUUUUGUUUCAGC